rnacentral:misc_RNA from 1 species
GAAAUGCAAUAAGUAAUGUGAAUUGCAGAAUUCAGUGAAUCAUCGAAUCUUUGAACGCACCUUGCGCUCCUUGGUAUUCCUUGGAGCAUGCUUGUUUGAGUAUCAUGAAAUCUUCAAAGUAAAUCUUUUGUUAACUCAAUUGGUUUCUACUUUGGUAUUGGAGGUCUUUGCAGCUUCACACCUGCUCCUCUUUGUUCAUUAGCUGGAUCUCAGUGUUAUGCUUGGUUCCACUCGGCGUGAUAAGUUAUCUAUCGCUGAGGACACUGUAAAAGGUGGCCAAGGUAAAUGCAGAUGAACCGCUUCUCAUAGUCCAUUGACUUGGACAAUACUUUUAUGAUCUGAUCUCAAAUCAGGUAGGACUACCCGCUGAACUUAAGC